rnacentral:rRNA from 1 species
UACGUAGGGUGCAAGCGUUGUCCGGAUUUAUUGGGCGUAAAGAGCGUGUAGGCGGCUUGGUAGGUCUUGCGUCAAAACCUGAGGCUCAACCUCAGUUCGCGUGGGAAACCACCUAGCUAGAGUCCGGAAGAGGAGAACGGAAUUCCCAGUGUAGCGGUGAAAUGCGCAGAUAUUGGGAAGAACACCAGUGGCGAAGGCGGUUCUCUGGGACGGUACUGACGCUGAGACGCGAAAGCGUGGGGAGCGAACAGG